CUUCGAAAGGGGUGCUAAUACCGGAUAACAUCAUGAACUCUUAGGGGUUUAUGAUCAAAGAAGGCCUCUCCAUGGAAGCUUUUGUUUGAGGAUGAGCCCGCGUACCAUUAGCUAGUUGGUGGGGUAAUGGCCUACCAAGGCAACGAUGGUUAGCUGGUCUGAGAGGAUGAUCAGCCACACUGGAACUGACACACGGUCCAGACUCCUACGGGAGGCAGCAGUGAGGAAUUUUGCGCAAUGGGGGAAACCCUGACGCAGCAACGCCGCGUGAGUGAUGAAGGCCUUCGGGUCGUAAAACUCUGUCAAGUGGGAAGAACCUACGUAAGGAUAAUACCCUUAUGUACUGACGGUACCACUGAAGGAAGCACCGGCUAACUCCGUGCCAGCAGCCGCGGUAAUACGGGGGGUGCAAGCGUUAUUCGGAAUUAUUGGGCGUAAAGGGCGCGCAGGCGGCCCUAUCAGUCAGAUGUGAAAGCCCUGGGCUUAACCCAGGAAGUGCAUUUGAUACUGUAGGGCUUGAGUAUGGGAGAGGGAAGUGGAAUUCCUGGUGUAGAGGUGAAAUUCGUAGAUAUCAGGAGGAACACCGGUGGCGAAGGCGACUUCCUGGACCAAUACUGACGCUGAGGCGCGAAGGCGUGGGGAGCAAACAGGAUUAGAUACCCUGGUAGUCCACGCAGUAAACGGUGAUCACUAGGUGUAGCGGGUAUUGACCCCUGCUGUGCCGCAGUUAACGCAUUAAGUGAUCCGCCUGGGGAGUACGAUCGCAAGAUUAAAACUCAAAGGAAUUGACGGGGCCCGCACAAGCGGUGGAGCAUGUGGUUUAAUUCGACGCAACGCGAAGAACCUUACCUGGAUUUGACAUCUCGGGAAUCCCUUGGAAACUUGGGAGUGCCCUUCGGGGAACCUGAAGACAGGUGCUGCAUGGCUGUCGUCAGCUCGUGUCGUGAGAUGUUGGGUUAAGUCCCGCAACGAGCGCAACCCUUAUCUUUAGUUACCAGCAUUUCGGAUGGGGACUCUAGAGAUACUGCCCCGGUUAACGGGGAGGAAGGUGGGGAUGACGUCAAGUCCUCAUGGCCUUUAUAUCCAGGGCUACACACGUGCCACAAUGGGCGGUACAAAGAGUCGCGAGCCUGCGAAGGUUAGCUAAUCUCAUAAAGCCGUCCUAAGUUCGGAUUGGAGUCUGCAACUCGACUCCAUGAAGUUGGAAUCGCUAGUAAUCGUGGAUCAGCAUGCCACGGUGAAUACGUUCCCGGGCCUUGUACACACCGCCCGUCACACCAUGAGAGUUGAUUGUACCGGAAGUUGUCGGGCCAACCUUUCGAGGAGGCAGGCACCUAUGGUAUGAUUGAUGAUUGGGGUGAAGUCGUAACAAGGUA
rnacentral:rRNA from 1 species